AGGACGAACGCUGGCGGCGUGCUUAAUACAUGCAAGUCUAAGGGUUUACCUUCCUUCGGGAAGGUAGACACUGGCGCACGGGUGAGUAACACGUAAGUCAUCUGCCCUUGGGUCUGGCACAACUCCGGGAAACCGGGGCUAAUUCCAGAUGAUACCGAAAGGUCAAAGUUUCGACGCCCAAGGAUGAGCUUGCGUCUGAUUAGCUAGUUGGCGGGGUAAUGGCCCACCAAGGCGACGAUCAGUAGCCGGUCUGAGAGGAUGAUCGGCCACAUUGGGACUGAGACACGGCCCAGACUCCUACGGGAGGCAGCAGUAAGGAAUAUUGCGCAAUGGACAAAGUCUGACGCAGCAACGCCGCGUGCAGGAUGACGGCCCUUUGGUUGUAAACUGCUGUAGCAGGGAAUAAGAGCCCGCUCGGUGGUGUGAAGGUACCCUAGAAAGUUAAGCUCCGGCUAACUACGUGCCAGCAGCCG
rnacentral:rRNA from 1 species